rnacentral:rRNA from 1 species
AUUGAACGCUGGCGGCAUGCCUUACACAUGCAAGUCGAACGGCAGCACGGGAGCAAUCCUGGUGGCGAGUGGCGAACGGGUGAGUAAUAUAUCGGAACGUGCCCAGUCGUGGGGAUAACGUAGCGAAAGCUACGCUAAUACCGCAUACUAUCUAUGGAUGAAAGCGGGGGAUCGCAAGACCUCGCGCGAUUGGAGCGGCCGAUAUCAGAUUAGGUAGUUGGUGAGGUAAAGGCUCACCAAGCCGACGAUCUGUAGCUGGUCUGAGAGGACGACCAGCCACACUGGGACUGAGACACGGCCCAGACUCCUACGGGAGGCAGCAGUGGGGAAUUUUUGGGACAAUGGGCGCAAGCCUGAUCCAGCAAUGCGCGUGCAGGAUG